UUCAGUUGAUUUAUCCACACACACAAAAAAGAAGAUUAAAGAGAUUGCAUAUCAAAAUAACAAAAUGUUUUGAUAUAUCCCGUAAUUUUCAUAUUGACAAUGUUGAAUCUAUCAGUGGCAUUUCCAGAUGGCUAAAUAAGGGAAAGCGAACUGCUUUUUGUGAUGGUGGUGCUUAGAUUACUCAAUGACAUCGUUUUUUUGUGAAUUUCACAAGAAAAAUACAAAAGCAUGUGCUUAUAAAAACAAAGUUAUUGACAAUUGGAGGACAUUGAGAUCUUGUGUGGGAUGGAUAGAGCUAUUGGAGUUGGUGCAAAAUAUAUGGACGAUGCAGUUGAAUUUAUGAUUGAGGAAGGAGAAAAUUGAUGAAGUCUCCUAUUGCACAACAACACAUCAACAUUUGGUAUCAAUAAGUUAUGCAAUUGAGCCUUGACAAAGAAAAAAGAGUAGAAAAGAUCCACUUUGAAACAAUUUUUAAGUUUGAGAUUUU